UUGCAUGCUGAAAGAGGAUAUGCUGGUCUGACCCCCCUCCUCCUUUCAGGGUGGAGCCUGCUGGAGUCCGAUGGUUCAGACCAGGUCUGAGGAAGUAUUCCUGUGAACUCACAGUCGACACAAACACAGUACACAGAAACAUCAAACUGUCUGACAACAACAAGAAGAUGACACGUGUGAAUGAGGUUCAGUCAUAUCCUGAUCAUCCAGACAGAUUUGACUCCUGGACUCAGAUGCUGUGUAGAACUGGUCUGACUGGUCGCUGUUACUGGGAGGUCGAGUGGAGCGGAAGAGUUCAUAUAUCAAUGAGUUACAGAAGAAUCAGAAGGAAAGGAGACAGUGAUGACUGUUUGUUUGGAAGGAAUGAUCAUUCCUGGAAACUGAAAUGCUCUGAUGAUGGUGGUUACUCUGUCAGUCACAAUAACAGAUCAACAUCCAUCUCCUCCUCCUCGGUCUCUGACAGA